rfam:Desulfovibrio vulgaris subsp. vulgaris str. Hildenborough, complete genome.
CGGAACGUAGCGCAGCCUGGUAGCGCACCUGCCUUGGGAGCAGGGGGUCGCUGGUUCGAAUCCAGUCGUUCCGA